CCGGAAGGGACGUUGAUGGCCUAGGGAUGCGACUUGGUGAUGGAAUGGAAGCCAAAGGGGGGUUUACGUGCCCGAAAGGAGAUGGAGCGAUGAGAUCAGACCCGAGUGACACUGACGAUGGAUGUGGGGACGCGAUGGAUCAAACGGGACGAGAUGGGGGGGGGGAGCUGGCAGAGACCUCGAGAGACAUCAACAACAACAACAAUAACGUUCCCGUACUGCGGCAUCCCGGGGAAGGGCCGCUCGACGAGACAUGGCGCGAGGUACGGAACGGGACGGACGGGUCGGCGUCCUCGUGUCUGCGCCAGGCGCUUCGUCUCGCCCACUGUACGAGUCCGCACAGGGAC